UAAGGUUUUGCUUCAGAAUAGGGAGUGGAUCGAAGCAUGCUUUGGGUGGACUUGGGGAAACAUGAAAUGGUUGUGUUCUAACCUUGCUUACACCUCAGACCACUUUGUCUUGGUCCCUUGCAUUGAUUUGGAAUAGACAAAGGACUUGGUUUGGCCUGCUAUGGAUUUCACUUUUUGCCAAUUUCGGAAAAUUGUGCUUUUGCACAUGGGGUUGGGUUUUGCUUUGUGAGGAGUUUUUGCUACCAAGUUGACUUCCUA
rnacentral:lncRNA from 1 species